rnacentral:rRNA from 1 species
AUUGAACGCUGGCGGCAUGCCUUACACAUGCAAGUCGAACGGCAGCAUAGGAGCUUGCUCCUGAUGGCGAGUGGCGAACGGGUGAGUAAUAUAUCGGAACAUGCCCUAGAGUGGGGGAUAACUAGUCGAAAGACUAGCUAAUACCGCAUACGAUCUACGGAUGAAAGUGGGGGAUCGCAAGACCUCAUGCUCCUGGAGCGGCCGAUAUCUGAUUAGCUAGUUGGUGGGGUAAAAGCCUACCAAGGCAACGAUCAGUAGCUGGUCUGAGAGGACGACCAGCCACACUGGGACUGGGACACGGCCCAGACUCCUACGGGAGGCAGCAGUGGGGAAUUUUGGACAAUGGGGGCAACCCUGAUCCAGCAAUGCCGCGUGAGUGAAGAAGGCCUUCGGGUUGUAAAGCUCUUUUGUCAGGGAAGAAACGGUAGUAGCGAAUAACUACUACUAAUGACGGUACCUGAAGAAUAAGCACCGGCUAACUACGUGCCAGCAGCCGCGGUAA